GCUGCUCCCUCUCCUCUAUGCCACCAAAGGUCUAAACUCACUUUUCUUACAAUGCCCAGCGCCCUGCACCACCACCUCGACUGUUCUUAUCUGUCUCCACAAUCAGACCAUGAGCUCUUUCAGAACAAGGACAAUGUCUCAUUCUUCCUGUUUCUCUCAAGCCUGUCAGAGAGACCGCAAAGGGGUACGUGCCUUGACAACAUGGUUUUGAGGAAGACAGGGGAUGCUACAAAUCCCAGGAGCUCUCCAACAAUGCGUAUCAAGUAAAGCAGAAUGAUCAGGCAUCUAACCCCCUGAACAUUAAACCGCAAGGAACAUAUAAGAGCAUGGCUGAUUGCUUUAAUGAAAUGCAGGCAUUCCGGUUCAAGACAACAUGUGGUGGGAGAUAACCAGGGACAGCAAGAACUUCCCAGUGAGCCACUGUCUACUUAGUGGAAUCACAGGUUUUGAAGAAACACAGAGCCGCCUGGUAGAAAUAAAGUAAUGAUGUCUGAAGAAGCUUUCAAAUACGGAUGGGUCUGAAUCAUGUUUCAAAGUUUCUUGGGCUUAUAUUCAGAAGUGCAACAUCCUUAACAUAUUGAAAAUAUUAAGCAUCUACCCUAAAAAUACAACUUAAUUAAAAAAAAUUUUUUU